UAAGACCUACAGUAAGCGCCUCAGACACAUUUCAUUGAACUACAGUACAAAUUGUAAUUUUUCCUUGAAAUAGACCAUCAGUAAACACCUGGACUUGUCAGCGUUUGUACUGUUUUCUUUACCAAAUAGACAAUACAGUACUUUCUCUAAAUGUGCCUUAGAUCCAUACUUGCAAAUGUCAACACAGAACAGGCAUGGUAUCUCUUAUGGAUAAUGAAUGAUUGCUGAUUGAAGAAUUGUGCAAAGGAGUUUAGGUGUAUCAGAGAUUCAGACUUAUAUAAGAAAUCUCUACUACCUGUGAAUAUAUAGGAUCUAUGUUUUCAUUUUGUUUAGCACAGGGAAACCAAUAGAGUUUGGGGUCUUUGAAUGACAUCUGUGUUAUCGGUUUUGCGAAAGGGUGUGAGAAAUGUGUGAGAAAAACACAAUGAAAACAUGUGAGCACAUUUGCAAGUGAUGACUUCUGCUGUGCAAAGAAGGUAUAAAUGGGUCAAAGCAAUCGGAACAGCAGUAAAAAUCUCCCUUCCCUCUUCUCUGUGGGAAAAAGGGGUCGACUGUGCUCUUUACAGUAACUCUUUACCAUAGACUAUAUAUAUAUAGAAUUCUAUGCAGUCUAUGCUCUUUACAGUAAGAGUCAUGCACAGAUAGGCUAUCAGGAAUCAUUAUUGCACUGCAGAGCCUUGGGCAAGGAUUGGUAUAGAUUAGCUACCUUAGAUACUUUGAAAGCCGGUCAUGUAGGUCAGAGCUGUUGUUCUGUAAAUUCAGAGUCGUUAAGUUCUUUUACACUAUUAGAAUUUGGAGGGCCUCCAGUCACUCUGCUUGUCUAGUAGGUUCUUGGGAGAACCUUUCAUAGUUCGUGUUGGUUGGAGGUUCCUGGAUGAACCAGAAUGUGCCGUGCGCGAGCUGGACAUUUGAAAUUUCGUCUGUUGGUUUGUCAGAGCCUCCUGAGUUUGCAACAAACUAUCUGCAGGUGGGUAAUGGUGUCUAUUUAUAGUUAAAUAUUUAUAAAGAUAUGACAUAUUGAUACAUGGUGAGCCCAUUCAAGUGUUUUCAAAGCGUCGCGGUGUUUAGGCUACGUUUACAGUUUAGGUCUUUGAUGGCUAACGUAUCAUUUUACCGCUAGCAAUUCCUGGUCAUUGUUUUAUUUAUUGUUAGUUGCAUAUGUAUUAGCUAGUAAUGAAAUUCAUUUGAAUGACAUUGAGAUAAGAUUUCUAGUUUUACUUCUCAUUCGGUUGACAAAGUUAUAUCUUUAUUGAGCCCAUUAUAGCCUACUAUUAAAGUUACACUUUGGCUCCACAAUGCUAGCCAUAAAGUUACAGUUGUAUCGCUAGAAGCUAGCCAUAAGGUUUUUUGUUUACCUGUCGUCAGACAGCAUUUUAAAUAUUACCAAGAUGUUCACGUGUGUAAGAGUUUAAGAUUGGGAUGAAGUAGGCUAUAUUGUGAAUGUUAAACCUCUAGGUAACUACAUUUGGAAACAUGUUUAGAUAGCUCUUAAAGUGAACGUUACCUUGCGUGCUAUUAAACCCAAUAGGAAACCCACAAAUGCUAGCUCGCUAAAUGUACUAACUUAAUCCUAUUUGCGUUUUGCAGGUAUCUAUCCCUCAAGUAAAAUGUAUAACGACAGUUGUUCUGCGCUGGUUGCAAAGUACAAUUUCCUCCGGGAUCGCACAGGGAAAGGCUAUCUUCUUGCAGAAACAAACCACCAGCUUGAUGUUGACGUUGAUCGCAGCAUUAUGUCAGGAAUGGGAAUUGUAGCAAUGGCCCAAUGCCAUUUAUUUCAUCAACAAGGACCCAGAGGUUCCAAUGCCGGUACUAAUCAUUACCGGAAACUCCUUCUUGGAGGCUACGUUUGGUGUGCGUCUGGACUACACAGAUAUCCUCACCCACAAAGUUGAUGACAUCACCCUCGGGCUUGCAACUUUGAUGUCAAUUUAUUUUGUGUUCUACAUAGAAUACCACACAGUGUUUCCCAUACAUUGACUAAUCGGUGGCGGGGUGCCACGAAAUAAAAAUCGGCCGCCACAGAUCAAUAUU